UCGAGGAUCUUCUGCAAUGGGCGCAAGCCUGACAGAGCGACGCCGCGUGGGGGAGGAAGGCCUUCGGGUUGUAAACCCCUGUUGCCGGUUAUGAAUCGCAGGACGCGAACAGCGUUUCUGCGUGACAAAGGCCGGUGAGGAAGCCACGGCUAACUACGUGCCAGCAGCCGCGGUAAGACGUAGGUGGCGAGCGUUGUUCGGAAUCACUGGGCAUAAAGCGCGCGUAGGCGGCCAUGUCAGUCGGGUGUGAAAGCCCUCGGCUCAACCGAGGAACUGCGUCCGAUACUGCAUGGCUUGAGGUCCGGAGGGGAGAGUGGAAUUCCCGGUGGAGCGGUGAAAUGCGUAGAGAUCGGGAAGAACGCCGGCGGCGAAAGCGACUCUCUGGUCGGAAUCUGACGCUGAGGCGCGAAAGCUAGGGGAGCAAACGG
rnacentral:rRNA from 1 species